rnacentral:rRNA from 1 species
AUUGAACGCUGGCGGCAGGCCUAACACAUGCAAGUCGAACGAGUGGCGGACGGGUGAGUAAUGUCUGGGAAACUGCCCGCUGGAGGGGGUUAACUUCUGGAAACGGUAGCUAAUACCGCAUACCAUCGGAUGUGCCCAGAUGGGAUUCGCUAGUAGGUGGGGUAAAGGCUCACCUAGGCGACGAUCCCUAGCUGGUCUGAGAGGAUGAACAGCCAUACUGGAACUGGGACACGGUCCAGAGUCCUACGGGAGGGAGAAGUGGGGAAUAUUGCACAAUGGGCGGAAGCCUGAUGCAGCCAUGCCGAGUGUAUGAAGAAGGCCUUCGGGUUGUAAAGUACUUUCAGCGGGGAGGCGUUACCCGCAGAAGAAGCACCGGCUAACUCCGUGCCAGCAGCCGCGGUAAUUC